rnacentral:misc_RNA from 1 species
GAUGAAGAACGCAGCGAAAUGCGAUAAGUAAUGUGAAUUGCAGAAUUCAGUGAAUCAUCGAAUCUUUGAACGCAUCUUGCGCUCCUUGGUAUUCUGAGGAGCAUGCCUGUUUGAGUAUCAUGAACACCUCAACCCUCAUGGUUUGCCAUGAUGGGCUUGGACUUUGGGGGUCUUGCUGGAUUGUAGUCAGCUCCCCUUAAAUGAAUCAGCUUGCCAGUGUUUGGUGGCAUCACAGGUGUGAUAAAUAUCUACGCUUGUGGUUUUACAUCAGAUAACCUUCAGUGAUGGAGGUUCACUGGAGCUCAUAAAGGUGUCUCUCCUCUGUGAGGACAGCUCUUUGAAUGUUUGAUCUCAAAUCAGGCAGGACUACCCGCUGAACUUAAGCAUAUCAAUAAGCGGAGGA